CUCCUUUUGAGCAUGACGUUAUUCGUCCUGUCGGGCGUCCUCACAAAUUACCUGCAUUCAGAGAUUCAUACCGGCACAGGUCGGUAUGCGAAGUCCCUUUUGGGGCCUUAGCUCAGCUGGGAGAGCACCUGCUUUGCAAGCAGGGGGUCGUCGGUUCGAUCCCGACAGGCUCCACCAUAUUGAGUGAAAAGACUUCGGGUCUGUAGCUCAGGUGGUUAGAGCGCACCCCUGAUAAGGGUGAGGUCGGUAGUUCGAGUCUACCCAGACCCACCACUCUGAAUGUAGUGCACACUUAAGAAUUUAUAUGGAUCAGCGUUGAGGCUGAGACAUGUUCUUUUAUAACUUGUGACGUAGCGAGCGUUUGAGAUAUCUAUCUAAACGUGUCGUUGAGGCUAAGGCGGGGACUUCGAGUCCCUAAAUAAUUGAGUCGUAUGUUCGCGUUGGUGGCUUUGUACCCCACACAACACGGCAUGUAGCUCCGAGGCAACUUGGGGUUAUAUGGUCAAGCGAAUAAGCGCACACGGUGG
rnacentral:tRNA from 1 species